rnacentral:rRNA from 1 species
UGGGGAAUAUUGCACAAUGGGGGAAACCCUGAUGCAGCGACGCCGCGUGAACGAAGAAGGUAUUCGUAUCGUAAAGUUCUGUCCUAUGGGAAGAUAAUGACAGUACCAUAGAAGAAAGCUCCGGCUAAAUACGUGCCAGCAGCCGGGGUAAUACGUAUGGAGCGAGCGUUGUCCGGAAUUAUUGGGCGUAAAGGGUACGCAGGCGGUUUAAUAAGUCGAAUGUUAAAGAUCGGGGCUCAACCCCGUAAAGCAUUGGAAACUGAUAAACUUGAGUAGUGGAGAGGAAAGUGGAAUUCCUAGUGUAGUGGUGAAAUACGUAGAUAUUAGGAGGAAUACCAGUAGCGAAGGCGACUUUCUGGACACAAACUGACGCUGAGGUACGAAAGCGUGGGGAGCAAACAGG